AGAGUUUGAUCCUGGCUCAGAACGAACGCUGGCGGCAGGCCUAACACAUGCAAGUCGAACGCUUCAGCAAUGAAGAGUGGCAGACGGGUGAGUAACGCGUGGGAACCUUCCCAGUGGUACGGAAUAGCCCAGGGAAACUUGGGGUAAUACCGUAUAAGCCCUUAGGGGGAAAGAUUUAUCGCCAUUGGAUGGGCCCGCGUCGGAUUAGCUUGUUGGUGAGGUAAAAGCUUACCAAGGCGACGAUCCGUAGCUGGUCUGAGAGGAUGAUCAGCCACACUGGGACUGAGACACGGCCCAGACUCCUACGGGAGGCAGCAGUGGGGAAUAUUGGACAAUGGGCGCAAGCCUGAUCCAGCCAUGCCGCGUGAGUGACGAAGGCCCUAGGGUUGUAAAGCUCUUUUGGCGGGGACGAUAAUGACGGUACCCGCAGAAUAAGCUCCGGCUAACUUCGUGCCAGCAGCCGCGGUAAUACGAAGGGAGCUAGCGUUGUUCGGAAUCACUGGGCGUAAA
rnacentral:rRNA from 1 species